rnacentral:rRNA from 1 species
GGAAAGGCCCCUUCGGGGGUGCUCGAGUGGCGAACGGGUGAGUAACACGUGGGUGAUCUGCCUCGUACUCUGGGAUAAGCCUGGGAAACUGGGUCUAAUACUGGAUAGGACCGCACUUUAGUGUGUGUGGUGGAAAGUUUUUUCGGUACGAGAUGAGCCCGCGGCCUAUCAGCUUGUUGGUGGGGUAAUGGCCUACCAAGGCGUCGACGGGUAGCCGGCCUGAGAGGGUGGACGGCCACAUUGGGACUGAGAUACGGCCCAGACUCCUACGGGAGGCAGCAGUGGGGAAUAUUGCACAAUGGGCGCAAGCCUGAUGCAGCGACGCCGCGUGAGGGAUGACGGCCUUCGGGUUGUAAACCUCUUUCGACAGGGACGAAGCUUUUUGUGACGGUACCUGUAUAAGAAGCACCGGCUAACUACGUGCCAGCAGCCGCGGUAAUACGUAGGGUGCGAGCGUUGUCCGGAAUUACUGGGCGUAAAGAGCUCGUAGGUGGUUUGUCGCGUCGUCUGUGAAAUUCCGGGGCUUAACUCCGGGCGUGCAGGCGAUACGGGCAUAACUUGAGUGCUGUAGGGGAGACUGGAAUUCCUGGUGUAGCGGUGGAAUGCGCAGAUAUCAGGAGGAACACCGAUGGCGAAGGCAGGUCUCUGGGCAGUAACUGACGCUGAGGAGCGAAAGCAUGGGGAGCGAACAGGAUUAGAUACCCUGGUAGUCCAUGCCGUAAACGGUGGGCGCUAGGUGUGAGGGUCUUCCACGACUUUCGUGCCGUAGCUAACGCAUUAAGCG